rnacentral:rRNA from 1 species
UGAGCAAUCUGCCCUUCUCAUCGGAAUAAGCGUUGGAAACGACGUCUAAUGCCGAAUACGACCUCCUUUCGCAUGAUCGGAGGUGGAGAGCUCCGGCGGAGAAGGAUGAGCUCGCGGCCUAUCAGCUAGUUGGUGUGGGUAAUGGCCCACCAAGGCGACGACGGGUAGCCGGCCUGAGAGGGUGACCCGGCCACACGUGGGACUGAGACACGGCCCAGACUCCGUAGGAG